rnacentral:hammerhead_ribozyme from 1 species
GAACUCCUGAGGAGUCUCAAAAUAGGACGAAACGGUCGUCAAGUGC